UAUCAAGAGGCAAACAGCACUCAGAC
rnacentral:piRNA from 1 species